rnacentral:SRP_RNA from 1 species
CGGCUGUGAUGGUCGUAAAGUAAGAAGGUUCAACGCAUCUGCGACCUCUCCUCCCCUUCAAUUGCGAAGCGAGGGCCCAGUUCGAAUCCGAUGGUGUUCGUUUCCCACUCGCUUAGGUAACUAGCGAUUGCUGGGCGGACCUAAGCAAUGAGAUCUACUGUCGAGGGAAGCAAUUCUGCAGACGCGAUCUCACCACCGGAUGGCGGUGCUGGAUUACCCGCGCUUGGUAACGGGAGGGGGUUUGUGGGAUGUUGGAUCGACUUUUUU